UACGUAGGGGGCGAGCGUUGUCCGGAUUUACUGGGCGUAAAGCGCGUGUAGGCGGCUUCUUAAGUCGGGUGUGAAAGCCCGGGGCUCAACCCCGGGAUGCCGCCCGAGACUGGGAGGCUUGAGGUCGGAAGAGGGGAGUGGAAUUCCGGGUGUAGCGGUGAAAUGCGUAGAGAUCUGGAGGAACACCCGUGGCGAAGGCGGCUCCCUGGUCCGGUUCUGACGCUGAGACGCGAAAGCGCGGGGAGCGAACGGG
rnacentral:rRNA from 1 species